AUUGAACGCUGGGCGGCAGGCCUAACACAUGCAAGUCGAACGGUAACAGGAAGAAGCUUGCUUCUUUGCUGACGAGUGGCGGACGGGUGAGUAAUGUCUGGGAAACUGCCUGAUGGAGGGGGAUAACUACUGGAAACGGUAGCUAAUACCGCAUAACGUCGCAAGACCAAAGAGGGGGACCUUCGGGCCUCUUGCCAUCGGAUGUGCCCAGAUGGGAUUAGCUAGUAGGUGGGGUAACGGCUCACCUAGGCGACGAUCCCUAGCUGGUCUGAGAGGAUGACCAGCCACACUGGAACUGAGACACGGUCCAGACUCCUACGGGAGGCAGCAGUGGGGAAUAUUGCACAAUGGGCGCAAGCCUGAUGCAGCCAUGCCGCGUGUAUGAAGAAGGCCUUCGGGUUGUAAAGUACUUUCAGCGGGGAGGAAGGGAGUAAAGUUAAUACCUUUGCUCAUUGACGUUACCCGCAGAAGAAGCACCGGCUAACUCCGUGCCAGCAGCCGCGGUAAUACGGAGGGUGCAAGCGUUAAUCGGAAUUACUGGGCGUAAAGCGCACGCAGGCGGUUUGUUAAGUCAGAUGUGAAAUCCCCGGGCUCAACCUGGGAACUGCAUCUGAUACUGGCAAGCUUGAGUCUCGUAGAGGGGGGUAGAAUUCCAGGUGUAGCGGUGAAAUGCGUAGAGAUCUGGAGGAAUACCGGUGGCGAAGGCGGCCCCCUGGACGAAGACUGACGCUCAGGUGCGAAAGCGUGGGGAGCAAACAGG
rnacentral:rRNA from 1 species